GUCGCUCAUAGUGCUGGAUAGGGGUUUUGCGUUCGAUCCUGGCAACCGACUAAAUAGCCAAACUAAAACGCAGCAAGAUGCAACUUAAAUCUUUUAUCCUCGUGUUCAUUGUGUUGUGGAGGGGAGAGAGGUGAAUCCGCUCAGGCACUGCAUACGUCAUCUGACUAGUUCAAAAGGACAUUCCUAUUAUCAUUCUCACCUUGCCUGUUUGAAAAUAAAGACCCUAAAAUGUGCUAAAUACUUGAUUACGGUAGGAUGAUGUGAUUUUUUAUUAUCUACUACAAAUACAUUUAAAAAAGAAAAGAAAUAAAGAAACUGAAAGUAAGUUGGGGAAAAAAAUCCAUAAAGGAUCCGAUAAAGGAAACUACGUGAGUUAAUGAGGAAAAUUUAUCUCUGAGUGGUUUCAGCCUGCCUAAAAGACGUGCCUGUAAAAUUGCUAGUCUGUACAAAGCUAUUAAAACAAUCAAUCGUUUGACAUUUGUAGUCCUGACAAACAUAUGAGAUAAAAUAUGCAGCUGUUUGAAAACUUUAACGCUGUUUUUCGAAACUCUGU